rnacentral:rRNA from 1 species
UUUGGUGGUCAUAGCCCAGGCAAAACACCCGAUCCCUUCCCGAACUCGGAAGUUAAGUGCCGCAGCGCCAAUGGUACUGCGUCUCAAGACGUGGGAGAGUAGGUCACCGCCAAAC